rnacentral:rRNA from 1 species
UACGUAGGGGGCAAGCGUUGUCCGGAAUUAUUGGGCGUAAAGAGCUUGUAGGCGGUUUGUCGCGUCUGCCGUGAAAUUUCGGGGCUCAACCCCGAACUUGCGGUGGGUACGGGCAGACUAGAGUGUGGUAGGGGAGACUGGAAUUCCUGGUGUAGCGGUGAAAUGCGCAGAUAUCAGGAGGAACACCGAUAGCGAAGGCAGGUCUCUGGGCCACUACUGACGCUGAGAAGCGAAGGCGUGGGGAGCGAACGGGG